UACGGGGGGGGCAAGCGUUGUUCGGAAUUACUGGGCGUAAAGGGCUCGUAGGCGGCCAACUAAGUCGGACGUGAAAUCCCCAGGCUCAACCUGGGAACUGCGUCCGAUACUGGAUGGCUUGAAUUCGGGAGAGGGAUGCAGAAUUCCAGGUGUAGCGGUGAAAUGCGUAGAUAUCUGGAGGAAUACCGGUGGCGAAGGCGGCAUCCUGGACCGACACUGACGCUGAGGAGCGAAAGCCAGGGGAGCAAACGGG
rnacentral:rRNA from 1 species